UACGUAGGUGGCAAGCGUUAUCCGGAAUUAUUGGGCGUAAAGAGCGCGCAGGUGGUUAAUUAAGUCUGAUGUGAAAGCCCACGGCUUAACCGUGGAGGGUCAUUGGAAACUGGUUGACUUGAGUGCAGAAGAGGGAAGUGGAAUUCCAUGUGUAGCGGUGAAAUGCGUAGAGAUAUGGAGGAACACCAGUGGCGAAGGCGGCUUCCUGGUCUGCAACUGACACUGAGGCGCGAAAGCGUGGGUAUCGAACAGG
rnacentral:rRNA from 1 species